rnacentral:tRNA from 1 species
GUUGCGGAAAUUUAACAACAAAACAUUAGCCUGUGAAGCUAAAAAGGAAAGGAUAACCCCCCCCAUCUUCGCAGCC